rnacentral:tRNA from 1 species
GAUAGUGCAAAUGAGUGCCUUGAAAGCACACCUUAGAGGUAAACCUCUCACUCUCU